rnacentral:rRNA from 1 species
UACGUAGGGUGCGAGCGUUGUCCGGAUUAUUGGGCGUAAAGAGCUCGUAGGCGGUUUGGUAAGUCGGGUGUGAAAUCUCCACGCUCAACGUGGAGGGGCCACUCGAUACUGCCAUGACUCGAGUCCGGUAGAGGAGUGUGGAAUUCCCGGUGUAGCGGUGAAAUGCGCAGAUAUCGGGAGGAACACCCGUAGCGAAGGCGGCACUCUGGGCCGGAACUGACGCUGAGACGCGAAAGCGUGGGGAGCAAACAGG